GUGUGCGUUUCAUUGGUUGUUGCUUCGAUGGUUGCUCAGAGCAACCAUCGAAGCAACAACCGAUGAAAUGCACGCAU
rnacentral:pre_miRNA from 14 species